AGCAGCCGCGGUAAUUCCAGCUCCAAUAGCGUAUAUUAAAGUUGUUGUGGUUAAAAAGCUCGUAGUUGAACCUUGGGCCUGGCUGGCCGGUCCGCCUCACCGCGUGUACUGGUCCGGCCGGGCCUUUCCCUCUGUGGAACCCCAUGCCCUUCACUGGGUGUGGCGGGGAAACAGGACUUUUACUUUGAAAAAAUUAGAGUGCUCCAGGCAGGCCUAUGCUCGAAUACAUUAGCAUGGAAUAAUAAAAUAGGACGUGUGGUUCUAUUUUGUUGGUUUCUAGGACCGCCGUAAUGAUUAAUAGGGACAGUCGGGGGCAUCAGUAUUCAAUUGUCAGAGGUGAAAUUCUUGGAUUUAUUGAAGACUAACUACUGCGAAAGCAUUUGCCAAGGAUGUUUUCAUUAAUCAGGAACGAAAGUUAGGGGAUCGAAGACGAUCAGAUACCGUCGUAGUCUUAACCAUAAACUAUGCCGACUAGGGAUCGGACGAUGUUAUAUUUUGACUCGUUCGGCACCUUACGGGA
rnacentral:rRNA from 1 species